rnacentral:rRNA from 1 species
GACGAACGCUGGCGGCGUGCUUAACACAUGCAAGUCGAACGGAGAUUCAGCAAUGGAUCUUAGUGGCGAACGGGUGAGUAACGCGUAGGCAAUCUGCCUUCUAGAUGGGGACAACAUCCCGAAAGGGGUGCUAAUACCGAAUGUUGUACCGUUUCCGCAUGGAGAUGAUACUAAAGGUGGCCUCUGAAUAUGCUACCGCUAGAAGAUGAGCCUGCGUCUGAUUAGCUAGUUGGAGGGGUAACGGCCCACCAAGGCUUCGAUCAGUAGCCGGUCUGAGAGGAUGAACGGCCACACUGGGACUGAGACACGGCCCAGACUCCUACGGGAGGCAGCAGUAGGGAAUCUUCCGCAAUGGACGAAAGUCUGACGGAGCAACGCCGCGUGAGUGAAGAAGGUUUUCGGAUCGUAAAGCUCUUUCGUUAGGGACGAACGUGCUCUUUGUGAAUAAUGAGGAGUAAUGACGGUACCUAAAUAAGAAGCCACGGCUAACUACGUGCCAGCCGCCGCAGUAA